AUGCUAGCUUCGGCCGCACAUAUACUAAAAUUGACAUACAGAGAGAUUAGCAUGGCCCCUGCGCAAGGAUGACACGCAAAUUCGUGAAGUGUUCCAUUUUUUU
rnacentral:snRNA from 1 species